rnacentral:lncRNA from 1 species
UUGGUGUGAAGGUGGUCUUGUGUUCAAAUCUUGGCAUGGGCAUUAUUUUUUCUUGUGUGUUUAGGAGAGUUUGAGAUGGACUAAAAAUCUGAGUAGUGGAUUUAGUGGGGAGAUUGAUGGAGAGAAAUAAGGGAUUGGGGUGGUUAUCAAAUAUUCUGUUUAUCUUUUUUUUUCUUUUUUUUACUUUCCCCAAAAUCCCUCCACCCUCUUACGGUUUUUCUCUUCAUUGCUGCCGAAUUUCUACUCUCUUUCACCCUUCAUCUUCUUGAUUUUUCUUUUCCCACUCUGCCUCGUGUUUCUCCACGUUUGUCUACGAUCGUUUGGUAAGUUUUAGAUAAGUGAUUUGUUUCCAUUUGUUAACUUCCUUUUGAAGUGUUUUGUUUAUGCCAAUUAGGGGAGGAUCCAAGGGCUCGUAAAUUAUUGUUCAUCAGUUGAAGGUAAUGUUUAGUUUCUUAUGGGUUAAAACCUCGAUACGAGUUCAAUUUGGGAUCACGUUACGUGAGAUUAUAGUAGUGUUAUUUGUUCAAUUAUAGGC